rnacentral:ncRNA from 9 species
AACAUUCAACGCUGUCGGUGAG